rnacentral:lncRNA from 1 species
AAACUGGAUCUCACACUACAAAAUAUAUCCAUUACUGAAAUUGUUUUUUUUUAUUUAGUAACACACACUGUUUUGUUGUCUAUAAAAUUGCAUCUAUAUUUGAGGAUCUGUUAAGAUGUGACUAAAAACAAUAGAGCAUCCAAACAACAUCUUAAAUGAAACAAACUAGGAUCAAAAGGUUCAAGCAAAAUUUAGCAAAACCAUCAUACAUAAAUAAAACCAAAAUUGAAAAAAAAAAAUAAAAAACAGUCCAUGAUAAACAGAAUAAAGCUAUUCAACAUGACAAAGAACUUCACAGACUUUUUUCAAAAUAAGUUUUGCUUAAUGUGUAUAUCAUCAGUUAAGAAAGUAAAUUUUGGAAAUAGAAUUUAGUUAUCAAUCCACAUGGCUCAGAUUCACAGUAAGAAAAUAAUGAAUAAUAACAAGGCAGCACUUGUACCCGCAAAGUGGAAAGGGAUUAAUAUAAGUUGCAAAACUUGUUUCCCAAUCCACUAUAAAUAAAUAUGUUUAAACUAAAAUAAUGAAAUAUUUGCCACUGAACAUUUUAUUAUCAGACUAGUGUACGUAAUAGAUAUAUGUCUCUUACUAAAAGUUAACUGUUCAAUUCUUUAGUAUUGAUUUUAUUUAUUUAUAAUGAUUGAA